CAGCACCUCAAGUGGUCAGGAUGAUUAUUGGGCCUAAAGCAUCCGUAGCCUGCUUUGUCAGUUUUCGGUUAAAUCCAUACGCUCAACGUAUGGGCUGCCGGGAAUACUGCAAAGCUAGGGAGUGGGAGAGGUAGACGGUACUCGGUAGGAAGGGGUAAAAUCCUUUGAUCUAUUGAUGACCACCUGUGGCGAAGGCGGUAUACCAGAACACGUCCGACGGUGAGGGAUGAAAGCUGGGGGAGCAAACCGGAUUAGAUACCCGCGUAGUCC
rnacentral:rRNA from 1 species